UCUCUGUUAUGAAGGAGAUCCUAGCACCGACUGUAACAACUCAGCGUCCGCCCCUACCUCUGGCACCAGGGGGUGUGGCCCCAGUUGGAACAGGGUCUUGCAGAUGUGAGGGAGUUAGAGCGAGGUCCCUAGGCGGGGCCGCCGCCCUGACUGGCGUCCUUCCACCACGGCGAUGACGCAGGCACGCGGGGGCAGGCCCCGUGAGGACGCAGCCAGAGCUGGAGAGAUGUCACUGCAGGCCAGCGCGCCCGCAGCCAAGGGAGCACGGGACAACGCUCUCCCUCGAGGCCCCCGAGGGAAGCCCGCCUCUGGAUCCGCAAUCUGGGACUUGCGGGACGAAGGGCCAGCUGUGCUGUCGCACCAUGCCGAUGACCCAGGGCCACGGGGGCAGGGGUGUGCCUGCUGGACCUGAGGCCGACCACGGACCCUCUGCGGCCGCGCACAGCAAACCCCAAGGCCCCCCGGGCAGGGUCUCGGCGGCUCUGCACCCCGUGGACGAACGUGCUGUCUGUGUCUGCGGAGUCACAGUCUUGGCACCUGCCUGAGCGGAACCAGGAGCCAGGCCCUCCCGGCGGGACACUGCCUGCGGGACAGGAGGCGCCCUGGACCCCACGCGCUGCGCAGCUGGCGGUCAAGGCGCAUGCUCUCAGCACAGGAGACCCGCACAGAGCGGCGGCCCCAGGCGGUGAUGGAGCGCGCCUGGGUCCCCCCAGCGGCCCGGCCU